UACGUAGGGUCCGAGCGUUGUCCGGAAUUACUGGGCGUAAAGAGCUCGUAGGUGGUUUGUCGCGUUGUUCGUGAAAACUCACAGCUCAACUGUGGGCGUGCGGGCGAUACGGGCAGACUUGAGUACUGCAGGGGAGACUGGAAUUCCUGGUGUAGCGGUGGAAUGCGCAGAUAUCAGGAGGAACACCGGUGGCGAAGGCGGGGUCUCUGGGCAGUAACUGACGCUGAGGAGCGAAAGCGUGGGGGAGCGAACAGG
rnacentral:rRNA from 1 species